UUCCAUUGGGGCAGUGUUGGAAAAACUGAAGAUGACUAACUGAUCUUGACCUGCAACAGAAGCAGUUUGUCGGUUUUGAACGAACAAGAGGGUUCGUUCACCUAGAAGACAAAGAAGUGGGAAAGCAGAGGCCUUUGUCCGCAAAGAACAACAAAAGAUUCAUAUGUAAGCUGGAAAGCAGGAGUAAGGUCCUGACAACGAUUGAUUGGCCGGAGAAGAAACAGAAAGUUCUUCCUCUCUUGGGGAAAGAGUUAACACUUCUCAAAAUGGAAAACCAAAUAAUAUGGAUUCAUCUACAUUGAUGAGUUUAAGAAAACAUCCCAUACUCA